ensembl:snRNA U6 U6 spliceosomal RNA
GUGCUCACUUUGGCAGCACAUAUACUAAAAUUGGAACAAUACAGAGAAGAUUAGCCUGGGCCCUGCUCAAGGAUGACAUGCAAAUUCAUGAAGCAUUCCGUGUUUUU